rnacentral:rRNA from 1 species
UACGGAGGGUGCAAGCGUUAUCCGGAUUUACUGGGUUUAAAGGGUGCGUAGGCGGGCCUUUAAGUCAGUGGUGAAAGCUCCGAGCUUAACUCGGAAACUGCCAUUGAUACUAUUGGUCUUGAAUUCGGUCGAGGUUGGCGGAAUGUGUCGUGUAGCGGUGAAAUGCUUAGAUAUGACACAGAACACCGAUUGCGAAGGCAGCUAGCUAGACCGACAUUGACGCUGAGGCCCGAAAGCGUGGGGAUCAAACAGG